GGGGCUGACAUGGUAUUGACAGCAAAGUAAAUGUUUAUGUAAGCAUGUCGUGCAAAGUAAUAAAUCACGUAAAACUUUUGUUACAGAAAAUUAAUUGGCGCAGAAAAUUUUGCUUUCGCUGCUUAGUUGAAGUAUAGUAAACAACGCUUAAUCUCGGCACGGGUGCCCAGACGAAACAUUUCUCGAAUGACUGUUCGGUUCAGGUUCGAUAAAGGAAUGGCAACAAAUUCCGAACUAUCUGUUAUGACACUUCUAAAUAACAGAGACAUCUCAGAAGAUAAGUUAAAUUUUUGGGCGUUUGCUUCCGGAAAUUUUUCCGACAAUUAAAUAGCAAAAUAAACAUGUAGAAAACAUUCUCGUUUUUUGUUUGGACCCGGGUUCGAUUCCCGGCAGCUCCACAG
rnacentral:tmRNA from 1 species